rnacentral:rRNA from 1 species
CACGUAGGGGGCAAGCGUUGUCCGGAUUUAUUGGGCGUAAAGAGCUCGUAGGUGGUUCGGUAAGUCGGGUGUGAAAACCUCCAGGCUCAACCUGGAGACGCCACCCGAUACUGCUGUGACUGGAGUCCGGUAGGGGAGCGUGGAAUUCCUGGUGUAGCGGUGAAAUGCGCAGAUAUCAGGAGGAACACCAGCGGCGAAGGCGGCGCUCUGGGCCGGUACUGACACUGAGGAGCGAAAGCGUGGGUAGCAAACAGG